rnacentral:rRNA from 1 species
AGACGGGACCCGCACAAGCGGUGGAUGAUGUGGAUUAAUUCGAUGCAACGCGAAAACCUUUACCUACCCUUGACAUGUCCGGAAUCCCGAAGAGAUUUGGGAGUGCUCGCAAGAGAGCCGGAACACAGGUGCUGCAUGGCUGUCGUCAGCUCGUGUCGUGAGAUGUUGGGUUAAGUCCCGCAACGAGCGCAACCCUUGUCAUUAGUUGCCAUCAUUUGGUUGGGCACUCUAAUGAGACUGCCGGUGACAAACCGGAGGAAGGUGGGGAUGACGUCAAGUCCUCAUGGCCCUUAUGGGUAGGGCUUCACACGUCAUACAAUGGUCGGUACAGAGGGUUGCCAACCCGCGAGGGGGAGCUAAUCCCACAAAGCCGAUCGUAGUCCGGAUCGCAGUCUGCAACUCGACUGCGUGAAGUCGGAAUCGCUAGUAAUCGUGGAUCAGCAUGUCACGGUGAAUACGUUCCCGGGUCUU